GGGAAAGCUGCCAGAGCCACUACCGCAUCUGCAGUUUCUAAAAACUACCAGCUCCAAAUACACCAAGUUUAUUUGGAGUAUCGUAUUUUGCUCUCCUUAACAAGGGGCCAUUGAAAAAUGGCUUGUGCAUCCUGUCACCAGGCAAGCUUAUAAACACCUACCGUAAGAGACCUACAGGAGAACGGAUUCCCUCUUGGUCAAGUGUCAUCCCUUCCUGUCAUUGACAGCACAGUGGUAGCAGCUUCCUUCCUCUCUGGAUUCAUCCUUCAGCUGUCACCCCAGAGGCCCAUCCCAGAACACAGCAGAAGAGAGAUGGUGCAGACACCUCUUCCAGUGCUGUGUGACUUCCCCGGACAGGGCCACCAACUGCGGAGCAAGUGUCCAAGUACUGUGAAGGACAUCUGUCAUCUGAGCCACCAAAAUCAUCACUCUGUGUAAUUAGAAGUAACUCUCAACAAAAGUGUAAAUAUGUUUAAUAAUUUUAAAUUCCAAGAGAGUUUUCUGCUACUACACAUUCUUACUAGUCAUGUUAAGCAUAUAUUAUAUCAUUAAAAAAUCUGGGGGGUCUUGAUGCAAAUUUUUGUGCUUCUAGAACCAAGGGCUCAAACCAAGUUUCCUAAGAGCACUAGACAGAAUACAAGCCACUUGUUGA